AUUGAACGCUGGCGGCAUGCCUUACACAUGCAAGUCGAACGGCAGCACGGGUGCUUGCACCUGGUGGCGAGUGGCGAACGGGUGAGUAAUACAUCGGAACGUACCUUAUCGUGGGGGAUAACGCAGCGAAAGCUGUGCUAAUACCGCAUACGCCCUGAGGGGGAAAGCGGGGGAUCGCAAGACCUCGCGCGAUUAGAGCGGCCGAUGCCUGAUUAGCUAGUUGGUGGGGUAAAAGCCCACCAAGGCGACGAUCAGUAGCUGGUCUGAGGGGACGAUCAGCCACACUGGGACUGAGACACGGCCCAGACUCCUACGGGAGGCAGCAGUGGGGAAUUUUGGACAAUGGGCGCAACCCUGAUCCAGCAAUGCCGCGUGAGUGAAGAAGGCCUUCGGGUUGUAAAGCUCUUUUGUCGGGGAAGAAACACCGGCUCUAACACAGUCCGGGAAUGACGGUACCUGAAGAAUAAGCACCGGCUAACUACGUGCCAGCCGCCGCCGUAA
rnacentral:rRNA from 1 species